rnacentral:rRNA from 1 species
AUGGCUCUACUUGCUGCCGCUACCCUGAAUCCCACCACCCACCUUAGCAUUAGAAGCCGUGCAGGACACAACAGUGAGAACCUAUGGCUCCGGUCUGCUGCUUCAUCACAGAAGAGCAAGGGAAGGUUCUGUAACCUCACCGUCAGGGCAGGCACACCGUCAAAGCCAGCAGAGCCCAUUGGGCCUGUGUUCACUAAGCUCAAGCCCUGGCAAAUCCCUAAAAGGGACUGGUUCGACAAGGACUUCCUCUUUGGUGCCUCCACUUCAGCGUACCAGAUUGAAGGUGCUUGGAAUGAAGAUGGCAAGGGGCCAAGCACUUGGGACCACUUCUGCCACACAUAUCCUGAGCGCAUAUCCGACAGGACCAAUGGGGACGUUGCAGCAAACUCCUACCAUCUGUAUGAAGAGGACGUCAAAGCGCUGAAGGACAUGGGCAUGAAAGUGUAUAGGUUCUCCAUCUCUUGGUCAAGAAUACUGCCAAAUGGGACGGGAAAGCCAAACCAGAAAGGCAUUGACUACUACAACAACCUCAUCAACUCGUUGAUACAUCAUGGCAUAGUGCCAUAUGUUACAAUUUGGCACUGGGACACCCCUCAAGCACUGGAAGACAAGUACGGCGGUUUCUUAAAUCGGCAGAUUGUAAAUGAUUACAAACACUUCGCCAAGGUGUGCUUUGAGAGCUUCGGCGACAGGGUGAAGAACUGGUUCACCUUUAACGAGCCACAUACAUAUUGUUGCUUCUCCUAUGGAGAGGGGAUUCAUGCUCCUGGGAGGUGCUCGCCGGGGAUGGAUUGUGCCGUCCCAGAAGGAGACUCGCUCAGAGAGCCAUACACUGCUGGUCACCACAUCCUCCUAGCUCAUGCUGAGGCUGUUGAGCUGUUCAAAGCGCAUUACAACGAGCAUGGGGAUUCCAAAAUAGGGAUGGCCUUUGAUGUAAUGGGCUACGAGCCAUACCAAGACUCCUUCCUCGACGAUCAGGCCCGGGAAAGAUCCAUCGACUACAACCUCGGAUGGUUCCUGGAGCCAGUGGUUCGGGGUGACUACCCCUUCUCCAUGAGAUCACUGAUCGGAGAUCGUCUACCCAUGUUCACUAAGGAGGAGCAAGAGAAGCUAGCGUCCUCAUGUGACAUCAUGGGGCUCAACUAUUACACCUCCAGAUUCUCCAAGCAUGUUGACAUUUCAUCAGACUUUACGCCAAAGCUGAACACCGACGACGCUUACGCCAGUUCAGAAACUAAAGGGAGUGACGGGAAUGACAUCGGUCCUAUUACUGGGACUUAUUGGAUUUACAUGUACCCAAAAGGCCUAACGGACCUCCUUCUGAUCAUGAAGGAGAAAUACGGAAACCCACCCAUCUUCAUCACUGAGAACGGAAUCGCUGAUGUGGACAGCGACCCAACCAUGACAGAUCCUUUGGAUGACUGGAAGAGGCUAGACUACCUCCAGCGCCACAUCUCAGCCGUCAAGGACGCAAUAGACCAGGGCGCGGACGUGCGGGGCCACUUCACGUGGGGUCUGAUCGACAACUUCGAAUGGAGCCUCGGCUACAGCUCACGGUUCGGCCUCGUCUACAUCGACAAGAAGGACGGCAACAAGCGCAAGCUCAAGAAGUCGGCCAAGUGGUUCGCCAAGUUCAACUCCGUCCCAAAAGCCUUGCUUAAGACCACCAAUACCAAUAACAAGCCAGCCGUGACUGCUUCCGUUUCCCUAUGA